rnacentral:rRNA from 1 species
CACGUAGUUAGCCGUGGCUUCCUCCUUGGGUACCGUCAUUAUCGUCCCCAAAGACAGAGUUUUACAAUCCGAAGACCGUCAUCACUCACGCGGCGUUGCUGCAUCAGGGUUUCCCCCAUUGUGCAAUAUUCCCCACUGCUGCCUCCCGUAGGAGUCUGGGCCGUGUCUCAGUCCCAAUGUGGCCGAUCACCCUCUCAGGUCGGCUACGCAUCGUCGCCUUGGUGAGCCGUUACCUCACCAACUAGCUAAUGCGACGCGGGUCCAUCUCAUAGCGGAUUACUCCUUUAAUUGCUGCUUCAUGCGAAGCUACAAUCUUAUGCGGUAUUAAUCUUCCUUUCGAAAGGCUAUUCCCCUCUAUGAGGCAGGUUACCCACGUGUUACUCACCCGUCCGCCGCUAAUCCGCUCCCGAAGGAGCUUCAUCGCUCGACUUGCAUGUGUUAAGCACGCCGCCAGCGUCGUCUCGUAGCCACGGACGUCGAAACUACUACUCGUAGACGUAC